rnacentral:rRNA from 1 species
AGCGUACACGGUGGAUGCCCUGGCAGUCAGAGGCGAUGAAGGACGUGCUAAUCUGCGAAAAGCGUCGGUAAGGUGAUAUGAACCGUUAUAACCGGCGAUGUCCGAAUGGGGAAACCCAGUGCAAUUCGUUGCACUAUCGUUAACUGAAUACAUAGGUUAACGAGGCGAACCGGGGGAACUGAAACAUCUAAGUACCCCGAGGAAAAGAAAUCAACCGAGAUUCCCCCAGUAGCGGCGAGCGAACGGGGAGCAGCCCAGAGUCUGAAUCAGCUUGUGUGUUAGUGGAACGGUCUGGAAAGUCCGACGGUACAGGGUGAUAGUCCCGUACACCAAAAUGCACAGGUUGUGAACUCGAAGAGUAGGGCGGGACACGUGGUAUCCUGUCUGAAUAUGGGGGGACCAUCCUCCAAGGCUAAAUACUCCUGACUGACCGAUAGUGAACCAGUACCGUGAGGGAAAGGCGAAAAGAACCCCGGCGAGGGGAGUGAAAAAGAACCUGAAACCGUGUACGUACAAGCAGUGGGAGCACCUUCGGGUGUGACUGCGUACCUUUUGUAUAAUGGGUCAGCGACUUAUAUUCUGUAGCAAGGUUAACCGUAUAGGGGAGCCGCAGGGAAACCGAGUCUUAACUGGGCGUUAAGUUGCAGGGUAUAGACCCGAAACCCGGUGAUCUAGCCAUGGGCAGGUUGAAGGUUGGGUAACACUAACUGGAGGACCGAACCGACUAAUGUUGAAAAAUUAGCGGAUGACUUGUGGCUGGGGGUGAAAGGCCAAUCAAACCGGGAGAUAGCUGGUUCUCCCCGAAAGCUAUUUAGGUAGCGCCUCGUGAACUCAUCUUCGGGGGUAGAGCACUGUUUCGGCUAGGGGGUCAUCCCGACUUACCAACCCGAUGCAAACUACGAAUACCGAAGAAUGUUAUCACGGGAGACACACGGCGGGUGCUAACGUCCGUCGUGAAGAGGGAAACAACCCAGACCGCCAGCUAAGGUCCCAAAGUCAUGGUUAAGUGGGAAACGAUGUGGGAAGGCACAGACAGCCAGGAUGUUGGCUUAGAAGCAGCCAUCAUUUAAAGAAAGCGUAAUAGCUCACUGGUCGAGUCGGCCUGCGCGGAAGAUGUAACGGGGCUAAACCAUGCACCGAAGCUGCGGCAGCGACGCUUAUGCGUUGUUGGGUAGGGGAGCGUUCUGUAAGCCUGCGAAGGUGUGCUGUGAGGCAUGCUGGAGGUAUCAGAAGUGCGAAUGCUGACAUAAGUAACGAUAAAGCGGGUGAAAAGCCCGCUCGCCGGAAGACCAAGGGUUCCUGUCCAACGUUAAUCGGGGCAGGGUGAGUCGACCCCUAAGGCGAGGCCGAAAGGCGUAGUCGAUGGGAAACAGGUUAAUAUUCCUGUACUUGGUGUUACUGCGAAGGGGGGACGGAGAAGGCUAUGUUAGCCGGGCGACGGUUGUCCCGGUUUAAGCAUGUAGGCGGAGGUUCCAGGUAAAUCCGGUACCUUUUAACGCUGAGGUGUGAUGACGAGGCACUACGGUGCUGAAGUAACAAAUGCCCUGCUUCCAGGAAAAGCCUCUAAGCAUCAGGUAACAUCAAAUCGUACCCCAAACCGACACAGGUGGUCAGGUAGAGAAUACCAAGGCGCUUGAGAGAACUCGGGUGAAGGAACUAGGCAAAAUGGUGCCGUAACUUCGGGAGAAGGCACGCUGGUGUGUAGGUGAAGUCCCUGCGGAUGGAGCUGAGACCAGUCGAAGAUACCAGCUGGCUGCAACUGUUUAUUAAAAACACAGCACUGUGCAAACACGAAAGUGGACGUAUACGGUGUGACGCCUGCCCGGUGCCGGAAGGUUAAUUGAUGGGGUUAUCCGUAAGGAGAAGCUCUUGAUCGAAGCCCCGGUAAACGGCGGCCGUAACUAUAACGGUCCUAAGGUAGCGAAAUUCCUUGUCGGGUAAGUUCCGACCUGCACGAAUGGCGUAAUGAUGGCCAGGCUGUCUCCACCCGAGACUCAGUGAAAUUGAACUCGCUGUGAAGAUGCAGUGUACCCGCGGCAAGACGGAAAGACCCCGUGAACCUUUACUAUAGCUUGACACUGAACAUUGAGCCUUGAUGUGUAGGAUAGGUGGGAGGCUUUGAAGUGUGGACGCCAGUCUGCAUGGAGCCGUCCUUGAAAUACCACCCUUUAAUGGCUGGUGUUCUAACGUAGACCCGUAAUCCGGGUUGCGGACAGUGUCUGGUGGGUAGUUUGACUGGGGCGGUCUCCUCCCAAAGAGUAACGGAGGAGCACGAAGGUUAGCUAAUCCUGGUCGGACAUCAGGAGGUUAGUGCAAUGGCAUAAGCUAGCUUGACUGCGAGCGUGACGGCGCGAGCAGGUGCGAAAGCAGGUCAUAGUGAUCCGGUGGUUCUGAAUGGAAGGGCCAUCGCUCAACGGAUAAAAGGUACUCCGGGGAUAACAGGCUGAUACCGCCCAAGAGUUCAUAUCGACGGCGGUGUUUGGCACCUCGAUGUCGGCUCAUCACAUCCUGGGGCUGAAGUAGGUCCCAAGGGUAUGGCUGUUCGCCAUUUAAAGUGGUACGCGAGCUGGGUUUAGAACGUCGUGAGACAGUUCGGUCCCUAUCUGCCGUGGGCGCUGGAGAAUUGAGGGGGGCUGCUCCUAGUACGAGAGGACCGGAGUGGACGCAUCACUGGUGUUCGGGUUGUCAUGCCAAUGGCACUGCCCGGUAGCUAAAUGCGGAAGAGAUAAGUGCUGAAAGCAUCUAAGCACGAAACUUGCCCCGAGAUGAGUUCU